AGAAGAGUAUGGGGUGAACAUGACGCCUAACAGAUUCCGCAUAUUCUGUGAGGUUGAACGGCCCUCUAUGGGAGUAGGAUGGCCACCAGAGGGCACCAUGGACUUAAAAACAAUAAAAGCAGUCUGCAGUAGUCACCGGAAAGCCGGGGCAGCCGGAUCAAUACCCAUAUAUUGAUUCAUGGCUGUGGUUGGCUCGAGAUCCUCCCCCUUGGGCAAGACUCUGCAUUCAAAAAGAGAGAGGGAAAACAUUAAUGGCACAAAAAUCGACUGAUGACAAAAAAGAAAUUCUGCAGGAUCCGGACGGGAGCGAUUAGCCCUCUCUCCCAUACUGGAUGACGGGCCGGCCACCUAAUGCUCCACCAGGACCGGAGGCCGCCUUAAUGACCACCGAUCCAGGGCCUGCUGGGGCUCCACCAGCUGCUCCCCGGCCAACUCCCCCGGAGAUCGUAGAACCGCCAUUUCGGCAGGCUCCGAUCCCGGCGGUAGGAACCUCUAGUCAACGUCCACAGGACUCAGCCUCAGCCGAACCUCCUAAAAAGUAUCAGCCUCUCCCGGUGAGUACUGACGGAAAGGGGGAGGAGACACAGGAAUUCGACAGAGGCUGCGCUCCGCCAAGGAGCCGGGGUAAACAAAUGCCUCGCAGAGAGCUACAACAGGGUUCAACAGCUCCGGUUCAGGGAGCAGACAGACACUACCAACCUCCCCGAGCCUACUAUUAACCAACCAUUUUCUUCUGUGGACCUACUAAACUGGCAGAAACCCAAGGCAUGAUCAGGCUGAUGGAGACUAUUUUUCGAACCUACCAUCUUACGUGGGAGGACAUAAUCCAGCUGCUAGUUUCCCUCUUCAGCACUGAAAAAAGACACAGGAUCCAUACUGAGGCUAGAAAAUGGCUACAAGAAGUGGCCCCUGAGUGUACCGUAAACCCACAGCGGUGGGCAGAACUAGCCAACCCUGAUGAAAGGCCCGAUUGGGACUAUAACACAGAGACAGGAAGGGGCCACCUUGAGAGAUAUAGGCGGCUAUUUUACAAGGUCUCAAGAGGGCUGUCGUAAGUCUAUAAAUAUGGCAAAACCAACCGAAGUAGUCCAAAAGGAAACUGAAACACCUACUGAGUUUUAUGAAAGACUAUGCAAGACCUAUAGACUUUAUACACCAAUAGAUCCAGAGGCAGCUUGGUCUCAAAUUGUGAUAAAUACAGCCUUUGUAUCUCAAGCCUACCCUGAUAUCAGACGCAAGCUCCAAAAGGUAGGCAGAGUAUUAGCCAUGACCAGCACACAAAUAAUUGAGAUUGCUAAUCAGGUGUUCAAAAACAGAGAUGUGGAGGCAAAAAAGAAGGCUGAGAAAAAACGGAGAGAAGAAAACAAGAGAGCAGAUCAGAGGAUGGUGUUACUGGCUGAGGCCUUGGGAAGGCCCCUCCUUGGGCCUUCCUCAAUACCUCCACCCCCUCUAAAUCAGGCAAGCCUCCUACAAGGAAGCCCAGGAUCGCCCUGCAACCAAAUCAAUGUGUCCAUUCCGGGGCUUCAGCCACUGGAAAAAUGAAUGCCCCCAGAAUAGCUGGGAAAAAUAACUGGCAUUGACUGUUUUAGGGCUGGCUGAACUGGAGGCUGAAUAGGGGUGCCGGGGCUCAAAGACACAAGGUCCCCAAGAGCCCAUGGUAAAACUAAAAGUGGAGAACCAAAUUAUUGACUUUAUGGUGAAUACUGGAGCAGAAAUGUCAGUGGUAACCGAACCAGUGGCCCCCCAGAGAAGGCCAUUGCUGCAGGAGUAACCAGGGAAAAGCUGAUUAGACUAUUCUGUCUACCCCCAAAAUGCCAGAUUGGGGUGGGGAGCAUCAAGUGACUUAUGAAUUCCUGUAUAUUCCUUAAUGCCCAGUACCUCUGUUGUGGAGACUUGUCAUCUAAAUUGGGUGCACAAGUGACCUUUCUCCCCAAGAAAGACCCACUCUCGACCACCUGUUUACUCUCCCUUUUGGUAACCCCUCAAGAUGAAUGGAGGUUGCAUGAUCCUUUGGAAGGGAAGCCAGAUGGGUUAAACAAUCCAGAGAGAGAGCUGAUCCAACAAUUCCCUGAGGUUUGGGCGAAAGAUACACCCCCACCCCGCCCCUGCCUGGGCUCGCCAAACAUCAAGCUCCCGUGGUAAGAGAACUCAAACCUGGUGCCAUACCAGUCAGGAAAUGUCAGUACCCGCUAGCACUGGAGGCCCGAGUUGGUAUCCUGCCACAUAUAAAUAGGCUACAGCAGGCGGGCAUCAUGAUUGAAUGCCAGUCAGCCUGGAACACACCAAUCCUGCCAGUUAAGAAGGAAAGGGGACAGGACUACAGGCCUGUACAGUACCUCAGACUGGUCAACCAAGCAGCGGUAACUCUACACUCCACUGCUGCUAACCUAUAUACCUUACUCAGCCUCCUCCCACCGAGUGCUAAGAUCUAUACUUGCCUAUAUCUAAAAGACACAUUCUUUUGUAUCCAUAUUGCUCCGGUAUCUGAACCCAUUUUUGUCUUUGAACGGGAAGAUCCCGCAGGGAGCACCAAACAACAGCUCACUUGGACUUGCCUCCCGCAAGGAUUUAAAAAUUCCCCAAUCAUUUUCGGGGAAGCCUUGGCUUCCGAUCUGGACUCAUUCCAGCCAGGAAGGUUUAGAUACUGGCUGCUACAAUACGUGGAUGACCUGCUGUUGGCUGCAGAGAAUAAAGAACCGAGUUUUGAGGAAAAAGGCACAGAUCUACAAGAUGGAGGUCAAUGGUGCCCCCAGACAUAAGCAGAAAUCUCCGGGAAUACAAUUAAAGGGUACUCUGCCCUUUGAACAUUUAGAAGUGGACUUUACUGAAAUGAAACCCUACUGGUAUUAUCAUUAUUUACGAGUCAUGGUAUGUAUCUUUUCAGGUUAGGUGGAGGCAUUCCCCACCUGAACUGAAAAAGCAAAUGAAGUGCCUAAUUGUCUGAGUCGAGAAAUAAUCCCCAGAUUCUGGUUUCCAACCAGUAUAGGAUCAGACAAUGGCCCUGCUUUUGUAGCCGAUUUAAUUCAACAACUAUGUAAACCUCUUUUAUUUUAUUUUAUGUAAACCUCUAAAUGUCAAAUGGAAAUUACAUACAGCAUAUAGGCCCCAGAGUUCCAGAAUGGUGGAAAGAACUAACCAAACCCUAAAAGAUACACUUUCAAAAUGGAUCAUAAAGACUGACUGUUCAUGGAUGGACUUACUUCCGGUGGCCUUGCUCAAAUUAAGAAUGACCCUGUGUUUCCAUGGUUAUUCUUCUUAUGAAAUUGUCUAUGGAAGACCCCCUCCCAUAGUAAGACAGGUGUUGGCAAAUUUGCCAUGUAAGAGGGGAAUGGGAUUUCACAGAGGAUGGAAAAAUUAGGUAAAGUGAUAAACCAGGUAACUAAGUUUAUCCAAGAAUGGGUGUCAUUCCCCCUUGGGGAGCAGAUUCAUGAAUUUGUGCCCAGUGAUCAAGUGUGGGUCAAGGACUGGAAGCAUGACUCCUUGGCCCCACACUGGAACGGUCCAUAUACUGCUGUACUAACUAUACCUACAGCAGUUAAAGUUGCAGGUGUCACUCCCUGGAUCCAUCACACGAGGGUGAAGAGGACAUACCACACAGACCUGGAGGACGCCGGGUGGACUAUAUAAAAGGACCUCGCUGAUCUCCGUGAAACCAAGAUCAUCUUAAAAAGAAAAAAUGAAGCUCUGCAAUCAACUCCUACUACGUAGACUUUCUGGUAUCCUGGGACUAACCCUAAUUUCAGCACAAGACAACAUUUCCAUCUCAUGGGCACAUUCCUACGCUGACUUCCAUAAUAGAUCUAACUGCUGGGUAGGCGGAGCUAUGCCCAUGUCUGUCAUGGAUGUACUCCCAUGGUGGGUGUCACCUCUAUGAAGGGGUGACAUGCCUAGUUUAUGUGACUAUUUUCUUCAGAUGAAACAACAAAAGUCGAGUGUGGAAACUGUCAUUACAGCAGCCACUACCCAUUGGUUCGAUAAAAAGGCUGAUGAUCUGACAAAAGGCCGUGGGAUACAUUUUAAUUGUAUUCUUAGCUCAGAAAAUGCUUAUCAAUAUUAUGUGACAGCUAGUAAGUCCAAACAGUCAAAAAAAAAAAAAAAAAACAGGUAUUUUGACCAAUUUUACCAGAUAUGAAAUGAAUGUAUGUGGAUUACUCCAGAAAAGGGACAACUUGUUGUGAUAGCUGACAUUUGCUGGGAACACGAUGUACACACUACUGGAUAUAAUAACCAGAUAAUAGACAAAAAAGGACUUGAAGCCAAUGGGUUUUCUACAGACAGAACAGUGCUAUAAGACCUAUAAAGUUACUUAUGAUCCCAAUCAAUCCACCCAAUGGCCUGGGACAGACUAGGGAGUCAACCCUGGAAUCAGGUGGAUUGCCCCAAACAGUACUCAUUGGUUAUGCAGGACCAAUCUGUGGCCAUGGCUAGCCCCAGGGUGGGUAGGAAGAUGUACUUUAGGUCUGGCCUUUGCCCAUGGGAACAUUAGGCCAACAAUACAGGAGCCCUUAAAUGCACCCUCCCUAUGGGCCAGAUGGUCACGAUCAGUUUUCCAUUGGUAUGAUUUGACUGCUACAUUUGUUCCUUCGUUGGGCACUACAGAUAUAAUGAUUAGAGUUGAAGCCAUAACUAAUUUCACCCAAAGGGCCCUAAAUGACAGCCUGAGGGCAAUUCAAGCAUUAAAUAAUGAACAAAUACAAAUGAGAAAGGCAGUAACUUGAAAUAGAAUGGCUUUGGACAUCUUGACCGCUGCUCAAGGAGAGACUUGUGCCAUAAUAAAGGUUGAGUGGUGUGUGUGUAUCCCAGUCUUGUCUGGAAACGUUACUGAGGCUCUUAGAGAUACACAAGCUCAUGUAAAACAAAUGUCAGAUGACUCAGUACCUGUUUGGACUUCUGUUUUGUCAUGGAUAAAGGGCGAUUGGUAGAAGACUGUCAAUUGUUGUUACAGUUGCUCUGUUAAGUUUGUUAUGUGUACCUUGUAUUCUCCAGUGUAUUGUCCAAUUUGUGUCGCUGAGAUUGACUACAUUUACCCAAGUACAUGCCAAAAGACCGAAUGUGCAAUAUGUCCCUGAGUGAUAAUCACAUUAGAAGCUGAGAGGAUCAAGAUGGGGUAAUGAAAGAGGAAAGGAGCAGGUUGCCUUGACUGGACUGACUUCAUUUUUAAAAGAAAAGGAACUCCAUCUUACACUCUCAGCAAACUUUUGGACUGUAUAUCUGGGAGGCCAUGGACAUAAAAUACCAGCUGCUGAACAGGUCUCAGGGAUGGAUAAAAACCAGACCAGGCAGACCCCGUACCUAGACCUCCUGGAGCCAGAAGGAAUGCAACGCCCACUAUGUAAUCAAUCACUAUCUUCUGUAAUCUUAAUAAUACCUAUUGGUGUGGUCUAAACUGUAUGUCCAGAUGGCUUUAGAAUGUGAAUUUAUGGCUAAAACCUGAUUGUAUCUCUUACUAAUAUUGUCCAGAAUGGGUUUUAAAGAAUUUGGGGAUGUGGGCUUGGGCAUGUACACUUUGGGCAUAAAAGGUUGUCACAAAAAUUGGUCGGGAACCUGGCUAAAGAGGAAACUCUGCCUCGGACCCACCGGUAUAAUAAACUGCACUCCACUCC